GUCAGUGUGGCAUAGUGGUUUGAGUGUUAGUCUGCAACUCUGGAGACCAGAGUUCAAAUCCCUGCUCAGCCA